rnacentral:ncRNA from 1 species
AGAUGAGAGAAACACCCGCCCGCAGGGGACUGCGGACGGCGCCCGGUCGGCGCCUGCCCGGCUUCGACCUGGCCGUGCCUCGCGCACACCCACCGGGGACCCUGGCACUGGACACCCCGGGACGCCUCACCGAUCGGC